rnacentral:lncRNA from 1 species
CACAAUGUCUUAAGAGAAUUUGAUGAACUACACAAAUAUAGAAAAAGAGACAUUACUAAAUCGGCCAUAGACUAUUCGAUACCAAUCAGCUAUGCCCAUAACUGAGAUUAUCCACAACUAAGAGGUGCUAUAAUUUCUUUUGUUUGAAAUAUGAUUUAUAUUCAACUAAGAAAAGAUAAGAAUGAGUGAACUCACAUCUAGGAGUCUUAUGAGCUAAAGGAAAUUAAAUUAAAUAUCAUUAAAAGUCUAAAACAAAGACAUACCUGCAUACAGAUAUAGCUUUACAAUUAUUGACUUAAUUUUUGAGUAGCAACUAAUGAAGAAAACUUUAAAAAAAAUCAGACAAGGGCCAGAAGAACUUCUGGGAUGAAGCUCAGCUGCAACAGAUCUGAAAUCAGCACGCAACAACUUUGAAUUUGACUUCCACAGCUUGUACCAAACCAGAAAAGAAGAAGUUGAGUAUUGAAAUUAAUUUUUUCCUUCAAUCUUCCGUCAGAACUUUUGAUUCUUCUUUUGUUUAUCAUAAUUUUUGUGAUUUUUUCGUCUUCAUUUCAAAAUAGGGAUGUGUGUGAAGGUGAGAGAUGGGUGAGAGAUGUGCUGCUCUCUAUUUUUCUUUUGAGGGGAGGGUGGAAUAUGAUAAUGUGUUA